GCAGCAGGCGCGCAAAACACCCCCCCCCUUUACGAAGAGGGAGAGAAAAUAUGAAACAAUAUACGGCCCUAUACGUCGUAUAAUUGGAAAGAGUACAAUUUACCUCCCUUAACGAGGAACAAUUGGAGGGCAAGUCUGGUGCCAGCAGCCGCGGUAAUUCCAGCUCCAAUAGCGAAUAUAAAAGGUGGUGCAGGUAAAAAGCUCGUAAUUGGACCUUGGACCUGGAGAGGCGGGCCGCCCCACGGGGAGUAAUGGCCUGGUGGGUCUUUCCUCCUGGAGAGCUGUUGUUUCGGCAGACAGGAAACACCACCCUUACUUUGAAAAAAAUAAAGAGUGCUAAGCACGCCCCACGCCCGAAUAUAUUAGCAUGGAAUAAAAAAAAAAGACGGGCGGGUCUAUUUUGUUGGGUUUUGGAAGCACC
rnacentral:rRNA from 1 species